rnacentral:lncRNA from 1 species
GACUGUCUGUCGUCCUUGUUUUUCGGCUUGUGGUGGGGCCUCCAGUUUCUCGGGUGUUCGAACAGCCUCGGUUCUAAGACGGAGUCCCUCCGCUUUCCCUUUGCCGCCAAACCCAUCCUGUCAUCCAGUUUGUGCCAGCAGGCCCGACCAGAGCGCGCAGCUUUCUUUGCCCCUUGCGCAUGCGCAUUGAAUCGGCUGUGGUUCCCAUCUCACUCUCGGAAGCACGUGCUCACGGGAGCCAACCCGGGGACUAGUCCCUGCGGUCCGCCACCAUCCCGGAGUGCACCGCGGCGGCGGACGGAGCGCAGUCGGCGGCCAUGUUGGGAUAGUUUGUUGUUUUCUUCCUGCGGAGGAGAAGGGGCCGGUGUGGACAACGAACCGCCCCGGCCUCUCCUCUCUCCUCCCCCUCCCACCCUGCCCCGGUCCUCGGGUCGUCCCUUCCCCACCUAUCACCCUCCCCUCGGCCUGGGAUCAGGCCUGUUCUCCCCGCCAGCUGGUUUGGUGGGGGCGAGGCCGAGAGCCGAGCUCGGGAGUCACCAUGGCGGCUUCCCUGGGUGCGGGCGGAGGAGCGGGAACCGGAGCCGGAGCUUUUUGGUGUUACGAAAUACAAGAAAGUAUAGAACUUGAUUGUGUCUUGUCCCAAGUUCACUCUACAUUAUUGACAAGCCCAAGGUAUUUUUUCCUAUUCCUUGUUCAGACUCCUAUGUUAGAUAGACUAACCUGAGGCCCCCCUCAGGGAAGGGUGUCUGCUCCUAGUCUUCCUACAUAAAAUCUGCACUUUGUUUUAUUUUCCAAGCAGUAUAGAUUUUAAAUUUCCUAUUAUGUUUGCUUUUAGUGAAUACAC